rnacentral:rRNA from 1 species
GAUGAACGCUGGCGGCGUGCCUAAUACAUGCAAGUCGAGCGAACAGAUAAGGAGCUUGCUCCUUUGACGUUAGCGGCGGACGGGUGAGUAACACGUGGGUAACCUAUCUAUAAGACUGGAAUAACUCCGGGAAACCGGGGCUAAUGCCGGAUAACAUGUUGAACCGCAUGGUUCUACAGUGAGAGGCGGCUUUGCUGUCACUUAUCGAUGGACCCGCGCCGUAUUAGCUAGUUGGUGAGGUAACGGCUCACCAAGGCAACGAUACGUAGCCGACCUGAGAGGGUGAUAGGCCACACUGGAACGGGGACACGGUCCAGACUCCUACGGGAGGCAGCAGUAGGGAAUCUUCCGCAAUGGGCGAAAGCCUGACGGAGCAACGCCGCGUGAGUGAUGAAGGUCUUCGGAUCGUAAAACUCUGUUAUUAGGGAAGAACAAAUGCGUAAGUAACUGUGCGCGUCUUGACGGUACCUAAUCAGAAAGCCACGGCUAACUACGUG